rnacentral:rRNA from 1 species
GACGAACGCUGGCGGCGUGCUUAACACAUGCAAGUCGAACGGAAAGGCCCGGCUUUUGUGGGUUGCUCGAGUGGCGAACGGGGGAGUAACACGUGAGUAACCUGCCCUUGACUGUGGGAUAACUUCAGGAAACUGGGGCUAAUACCGGAUAGGAGCUCCUGCUGCAUGGUGGGGGUUGGAAAGUUUCGGCGGUUGGGGAUGGACUCGCGGCUUAUCAGCUUGUUGGGGGGGUAGUGGCUUACCAAGGUUUUGACGGGUAGCCGGCCUGAGAGGGUGACCGGCCACAUUGGGACUGAGAUACGGCCCAGACUCCUACGGGAGGCAGCAGUGGGGAAUAUUGCACAAUGGGCGGAAGCCUGAUGCAGCAACGCCGCGUGCGGGAUGACGGCCUUCGGGUUGUAAACCGCUUUCGCCUGUGACGAAGCGUGAGUGACGGUAAUGGGUAAAGAAGCACCGGCUAACUACGUG